AUUUCUAAGCCUGCUAAAAAUUUGAUUCUUUAUUUACUAGGUUUGAAUAACCUUGACUGACUGCAUUCGAUUGUGAAAGAGAGAAAAGGAAAAGAAUGACAUCCUGGAAAUAUAUAUUAUCAAGCAUCUAUCUCACAGGGUGGAUGGAAGAGUGUGAGAUGGUGGAGACGUGACAUCGAAGUAGCCUACAUUGCGACUCACUGCGCUGAGCCGUCUGCCAGACCCAGGUGGACAUCAUCACUCACUGGAAGGAAACUCUGCUGCACAGAUCCAUUCGGAUGAAGAAUAACGGGCCUUUCCCCAUCGUGUGAUGCUGCCGUCUCAAGGUGGAGCUGCACAAGGGGAAGAAAGAGCAUGGACAGUUCCUACCACUCUUAACUGCCUUCGGUCCAUUUGCCAGAACCAGUCACUAGGCCAGGGCAAUAGCAGGAGAGGACAGAAAAGGCAGAGACGCCCAAG